AUGACUAUGCUACUGUGGUUUAAGAGUUUACUAUGCUAUACUUUUCAUUGUUACAUUGAAGCAUACUUCUACCUAAAAAGUUCAGCCUGGGUAACAGAGCAAGACCCUGUCUCUAAAAACACGUGUUUUUUGUUUGUUUGUUUGUUUUUUCUUUGUUUCCUUUGUUUUGAGACAGAGUUUCCCUCUUUUCACCCAGGCUGGACUCUAUCUCAAAAAACUAACAAACAAAAAUUUAAACAUUUGCCUUUCCCUUGGAGAUCAUUAAUUCUUUAUGUGUCAGCAGCUUCCAGGAAUAUUAUGCAAUAUAUGUAAAUAUUAUAAAUUAGCAGCCUCCAGAAAUGCAUUUUGUAGUAACCACUAGAGCAUUUUUAAAAAUUUAUAUGGGCCGGGCGCGGUGGCUCAAGCCUGUAAUCCUAGCACUUUGGGAGGCCGAGACGGGUGGAUCACGAGGUCAGGAGAUCGGA
rnacentral:lncRNA from 1 species